rnacentral:rRNA from 1 species
CCUACGGGAGGCAGCAGUGGGGAAUAUUGGGCAAUGGAGGCAACUCUGACCCAGCAACGCCGCGUGAAUGAUGAAGGUCUUCGGAUUGUAAAGUUCUGUGAUGGGGGAUGAACACAAUGACGGUACCCCAAUAGCAAGCCACGGCUAACUACGUGCCAGCAGCCGCGGUAAUACGUAGGUGGCAAGCGUUAUCCGGAAUGACUGGGCGUAAAGGGUGCGUAGGUGGUUUAGUAAGUUGGCGGUGUAAUUCCGGGGCUCAACCUCGGCGCUACCGCCAAAACUAUUAGACUAGAGUGCAGGGGGGGUAAGUGGAAUUCCUAGUGGAGCGGUGGAAUGCGUAGAUAUUAGGAGGAACAUCAGGGGCGAAGGCGACUUACUGGACUGUAACUGACACGGAGGCACGAAAGCGUGGGGAGCAAACAGGAUUAGAUGCCCUUGUAGUC